rnacentral:lncRNA from 1 species
AAGAUAGGUAUUACAGACCCUUUUCUGAUAUGACAAGAAGAGCAUAUUGCCUCUAAGAGUCUUGUCUAAUCAUGAACAAGCAUCAGACACCCAAAUACUCAUGAUCUUCAAAAGUAUCAAAGUCACGCAGUUUUAAGAGCAGACCAAGGAAUCAACACAGAUAAGAAGAAACAAGGAGACAUGCUGAGCAAAUGCCUUGUGGGAUCCAGAACUGAAUCCUCUAACAGAAAAGGAACAUGAAUGGGAGAACUGAGAAGUUCAAAUAGUGCCUGACAUUUAAGUAACAGUUCUAUUAGUGUCCAUCCAAAUUCAGCCUGAUUGUAUAGCAGAUGUUAAUAUUCAGGAAAGCCAGUGCAUAGAAACUCUGUGCUUUCUCUGCACUUGGCUCUAAGCCUAGAAUCAUUUCAAAAGAAAACAUUUGCAAGGUGUGGUAGUGUAAGCCUGUAGUCCCAGCUAUUGGGAGGCUGAAGUGGGAGGAUCCCUUGAGUCUGAGUUCAAUGCCAGCGGGCCUGUGCCUGAUCUAUGGAAACCUUUUUGUUUCAGGGGUGAUGCAGUGUGUGAUUGCAAAGUGUUCAAUGCCUUCCUAAACAUGAUGGCAGAUAAAGUAAGCCUCUUCAGAGCAUAAGCAUCCACCUGCUGCAGAGCAUCAUACAGGGGUACUAUUCUACCUUCUCUUCUGAAUCUAGGCCAAGACAAAGGAGAAUGAAGAGGAGCUAGAGCAACAUGCUCAGUUUCUGUUGGUUUCCCCACUUGCUCUGGAGUGGGACUGUAUUGAAGACCAUGCUGGACAUCCUGCAGACUCUAUCCCUGUCGCUGAGUGCUGACAUUCAUAAGGACCAGCCUUACUACAGCAUCCCUGACGUGCCCUAUCAGAUCACAGUUCCUGACACAUACAAAGCCCGAGAGAGCAUUGUGAAGGACUUUGCUGCACACUGUGGAAUGAUCCUGCAGGAGGCCAUGAAGUGGGCACCUACAGUCACCAAGUCUCACCUACAGGAAUAUCUGAACAAACAUCAAAACUAG